CAGCCGCCACGGUAAUACGGAGGGUGCAAGCGUUAAUCGGAAUUACUGGGCGUAAAGCGCACGCAGGCGGUCUGACAAGUCAGAUGUGAAAUCCCCGGGCUUAACCUGGGAACUGCAUUUGAAACUGUCAGGCUGGAGUCUUGUAGAGGGGGGUAGAAUUCCAGGUGUAGCGGUGAAAUGCGUAGAGAUCUGGAGGAAUACCGGUGGCGAAGGCGGCCCCCUGGACAAAGACUGACGCUCAGGUGCGAAAGCGUGGGGAGCAAACAGGAUUAGAUACCCCAGUAGUCCCUGUCUCUUAUAA
rnacentral:rRNA from 1 species